CGGUAGUCGAGCGCCUAUCAGUAGCAAGCAGCUGUUCAUUCGUCAAGAAGCCGGCUCUGACCUUGAAGCCCAGAUGCACGCAUUUCAGCCAUACAGACCAGCUGCAGUGCUGUGUUCGAGGGUGGAACAGGAGGCCUGAUCCAGAGGACAAUGAUCACGAUCAGCGUCUUCUGGCAGCUCAGCUCACAUCUGAUACAGAAGGCAGACAGCGGGUUCCCUGGAGGACGACGGCUGUUCUGACUGCUGCCGGGAAAACUAGGGCAAACGCCGAGGACGACACAGGCUGGGAGACCCCAAAGUGCGAGCCGCACUAGCGGAAACGCCGAGGACGACACAGGCUGGGAGACCCCAAAGUGUGAGCCGCACGCCCACCCACAGGGAGCCACGGGACCCUUGGCUUUGCCUGUUUCUUUCGGGAUGCGGCCUAUGCUAAAACAUUAGCCACAGAGGGUCAGUGACUAAACGUAGCUGCUCUGCCUGUCCCUGCCAAGAGUUUCUUUUUGUAAUGAUGAAAGUGAGAGAACUUCCAGGGGAGGGUUACGGAGGAACCCAGAAAACCGAGAACAACACCCCCCCCCAUUGUUGUUCUGUGUCCAGAGCAGAGAUUCCCCCCAGCAUGCACCUCCCUGCUCUAAUGAGGUCAGCAGCGGACGUUUCCACGGCGUUCUCAGGUUAACAUCCUCUUCCCCGGCAGUCGUCUCUCCCUCU